GAGGGUAUAGCUCAGUGGUAGAGUGCAUGCUUAGCAUGCACAAGGUCCUGGGUUCAAUUCCCAAUACCUCCU
rnacentral:tRNA from 1 species